rnacentral:rRNA from 1 species
AUUGAACGCUGGCGGCAGGCCUAACGCAUGCAAGUCGAGCGGAUGAAGGGAGCUUGCUCCUGGAUUCAGCGGCGGACGGGUGAGUAAUGCCUAGGAAUCUGCCUGGUAGUGGGGGAUAACGUCCGGAAACGGGCGCUAAUACCGCAUACGUCCUGAGGGAGAAAGUGGGGGAUCUUCGGACCUCACGCUAUCAGAUGAGCCUAGGUCGGAUUAGCUAGUUGGUGGGGUAAAGGCCUACCAAGGCGACGAUCCGUAACUGGUCUGAGAGGAUGAUCAGUCACACUGGAACUGAGACACGGUCCAGACUCCUACGGGAGGCAGCAGUGGGGAAUAUUGGACAAUGGGCGAAAGCCUGAUCCAGCCAUGUCGCGUGUGUGAAGAAGGUCUUCGGAUUGUAAAGCACUUUAAGUUGGGAGGAAGGGCAGUAAGUUAAUACCUUGCUGUUUUGACGUUACCAACAGAAUAAGCACCGGCUAACUUCGUG